GACGAACGCUGGCGGCGUGCUUAACACAUGCAAGUCGAACGGUAAGGCCCUUCGGGGUACACGAGUGGCGAACGGGGGAGGAACACGUGGGUGAUCUGCCCUGCACUUCGGGAUAAGCCUGGAAACUGGGUCUAAUACCGGAUAGGACUCCGGACUGCAUGGUCUGGGGUGGAAAGCUUUUGCGGUGUGGGAUGGGCCCGCGGCCUAUCGGCUUGUUGGUGGGGUGAUGGCCUACCAAGGCGACGACGGGUAGCCGGCCUGAGAGGGUUACCGGCCACACUGGGACUGAGAUACGGCCCAGACUCCUACGGGGGGCAGCAGUGGGGAAUAUUGCACAAUGGGCGCAAGCCUGAUGCAGCGACGCCGCGUGAGGGAUGACGGCCUUCGGGUUGUAAACCUCUUUCAGCAUCGACGAAGCGAAAGUGACGGUAGGUGCAGAAGAAGGACCGGCCAACUACGUGCCAGCAGCCGCGGUAA
rnacentral:rRNA from 1 species